CUCGCCUGUCUAGGCUACAUCGUACCCCAAAGAGUAGCCGGUCUAAGUAAAAAGGUCCGACAGGACUGCUGCAACUCCACCACAUCACAACCUCACUAAAGGUAAAGAAAGGCGUCACUAACUACCACUGACCCAACCUCACACGAGCUGCCCAAACGGACCUACCCUGUCUGAAUCUAACUCAAAAACUGUCCCAACAUAAACUGCGACAUCAUCGUACAGAAACCUCAUUCUGGAAUGGCAUUCAUGGCCGCAACCCAACC
rnacentral:lncRNA from 1 species